rnacentral:rRNA from 1 species
GUGGGGAAUCUUAGACAAUGGGCGCAAGCCUGAUCUAGCCAUGCCGCGUGAGCGAUGAAGGCCUUAGGGUUGUAAAGCUCUUUCGCUGGGGAAGAUAAUGACUGUACCGGAAGAAUAAGCCCCGGCUAACUUCGUGCCAGCAGCCGCGGUAAUACGAAGGGGGCUAGCGUUGCUCGGAAUCACUGGGCGUAAAGGGCGCGUAGGCGGACUCUUAAGUCGGGGGUGAAAGCCCAGGGCUCAACCCUGGAAUUGCCUUCGAUACUGAGAGUCUUGAGUUCGGAAGAGGUUGGUGGAACUGCGAGUGUAGAGGUGAAAUUCGUAGAUAUUCGCAAGAACACCAGUGGCGAAGGCGGCCAACUGGUCCGAUACUGACGCUGAGGCGCGAAAGCGUGGGGAGCAAACAGGAUUAGAAACCCUGGUAGUCC